AAAUUCUCCAACUGAAAAUAAACCUGACAUAUUUUAACAAUGAAUAUUAGCAACAGAGUUUGCAUAAAUAAGUGAACAAAAAUAAUGGGAAACAAGUCCUAGAACAAAGCAAUAGAAAUCACAAAUGCGAUGAUCACUUCCAGUGGGUUCCUCAGAUGUUUUUGAUAAAAACAACAAAACAUUGCUCUUGAGAGGCCACGAGAAUUCCCAAACCAGUCAAAACCAAGAACAGGUCAAAACCAAGAACAGGCUUUGGCAAUAGGAUCCCAGGUAAUUGUACAUUACAAUAUUUGUGCCAAAAACAAUUGUGUCAAAAAUCUUGAGUUGAAUAUUAAUCUAUGUCAAUGACAAAGCAUGCAAUCCAAUGCACAACCAUAUGUCAACUGAUAAGCUCAACAAACAACGUUAACAAAUAAAAUGUGCAUGAUGAAGCGCAAUGACAAAUCAAAGUUACAAACAAAAACAAAGAUAAAACUGUUUCUCGACAACUAUAAAGAAAGUUAAAGAUAAACUAAGUUGCUUGUAUAAGAUACAGUAACCACAGAGAGGCAUAAGUAUAAUACAACUGUUAUGUGACCAUGCAAGAGCCUUAACAUACAUAGCAGUGGAAAUCAGUCCAAUAACAGGCAAUAUAAAUAUUUCUUUUAAUAGCUCACAGUGAAAAACAUAAAUACUUUACUUCAUAAUAUUUUGGAUAAAAGAACUCAUACACGAGUGAAACGGCCUAAUAAUUUGAUAAAAUCUUAGUCAUGGUGCUUUAAAAUUUGAAUAAAUUGUUUAUCAUAAUGAAAAAUAUAGCAGUGUAGUAAUUUUGUCCCAUCCUUUUCAAAUCAUUAGUAAUUUUGUCUCAUCCUUUUCAAAUCAUCAAUCUCAACUUGCACUUAGAAUAACCAACCUAUAAAUUCACUUAUAAAUAAAAUCAAUUUAAGAUAUUCAA
rnacentral:misc_RNA from 1 species